AAAGGCCUCGAAGAAUGGAUGUGGAGAGGACGUUACUAUGCUGGGGGAAUCUAAGACCAGAGGACACGGCAUCAGAAUAGAGCUCCUGCUGUUUCUGAAUUUAUGGAAUACUUGCACUGCUAACAUGGUGUGGCCUUUCCCAUGCAUGGAGACUCAGAGUUGCUCUUCUCUGGCCAAUGUGAGUGCCUUGGGAUCUUCAAAGCUGAUCUGAAGGUACCCUUUAAAAGGCUGCACACUGGGAAUUCGAGUGGUGGUUCAACCUACAUUAUGACCACAGGACUGGAUGAAAGCCUGAAGGUGGUGAUUGUUAAUAAACUAAAAUAAUAAAUA